rnacentral:lncRNA from 1 species
UUGAUUUCUCAUUGUUUUUUGUUGUUCCUUCUCCUUUUGAGGCCAUAGAGACCAGAUUCAUUUUUGGUUUCUUCAAAGGCCAAACCUUAUUUUCUCAGCAAACCCUUUUGCCAUCUUACACAAAAAGAAAAAAGAAAAAAUCUUGUUCGUCUGAGAGUCUCUGUCCCUUUUGGAUUUGAGGUUCAACAACAUUCAUGAACUUCAAGUAAUCUAUAAUCUUCUUGUAGUAGUAAUCCAGGAAGAUACAUUUAAACACAUAGACAGAAUGAAAAUGAAUUGCUUGUUCUGUUGUAUGUCCGAGAGACAAUUAACCAGACGAUCAUCAUCAAGACAAGGCAUCAAAGACUGCAUUGAUGCAAACAACACUCACACUCUUUCAAGAUUUGAAAACAUCUCUUAUAAAACAGGUCCCAGUUUUUUUUUUUAAUUAUCAUUUUCAUAAUAUACAUUAUCAGAUUUCAUGUUUUUCUAUCUAAACAAGCUGACAUAUGUACUUGCAGAUAGCAGUAGGAGAAGAUUCAUAUCCGAGGAGAUAUCAAAACUUGGGAAAGGGAACAUAAGUGCUCAGAUCUUUACCUUCAGAGAUCUCUGCGUCGCCACCAAGAACUUUAACCCCGAGAAUCAGCUCGGUGAAGGCGGUUUUGGAAGGGUUUACAAAGGGCACAUAGAAACCUCUGAAAAGGUAUAUAUACUUCCACUAUUUCUCACAACAUAUUCUUCAUACCCUUGUUCUUGAAUCUGAUUCUUGCAUGUAUUAUUAUAGGUUGUUGCGGUUAAGCAGCUAGACAAGAAUGGCUACCAAGGGAACAGAGAGUUUCUUGUGGAAGUCAUGAUGUUGAGUCUCUUACAUCACACAAACCUUGUAAACUUGGUUGGAUACUGCGCAGACGGUGAUCAACGGAUUCUUGUCUAUGAAUAUAUGCCAAAUGGCUCAUUAGAUGAUCAUCUUCUCGGUAUAUAUACAUCUCAAACGUUACAAAACAUCAUUACCCAUGCAUUUUAUAGUUUUAAAAAUUAUCUUCUUUAUUUCAGACUUGGGGCGGACCAAGAGGAAACCAUUGGAUUGGGACACAAGGAUGAAAGUUGCCGCAGGAGCAGCGAGAGGGCUUGAGUAUCUACACGAAACAGCUGAUCCUCCUGUGGUCUACAGAGAUUUCAAGGCCUCCAACAUAUUGCUUGACCAAGAAUUCAACCCAAAGCUUUCGGAUUUCGGUUUAGCUAAAGUUGGUCCGACCGGUGGACAGACUCACGUGUCGACCAGAGUGAUGGGAACAUACGGCUACUGUGCCCCUGAGUAUGCUCUCACGGGACAGCUCACUAUGAAGUCCGAUGUGUACAGCUUUGGAGUUGUGUUCUUGGAGAUGAUCACAGGAAGAAGAGUCAUUGACACGACCAAACCAACUCGAGAACAGAAUCUAGUGACUUGGGUAACAAGUAACGAAAAAACCCUUCAAUGUCUUUUAUUCAUUUGUGUUUUCUUGAUUGGUGGGUUGCUAAAAUGCGCAGGCGAGCCCAUUGUUCAAAGAUAGGAGAAAGUUCAGCUUAAUGGCGGAUCCGUUGCUUGGAGGGAAGUAUCCGAUGAAGGGACUGUAUCAAGCGCUUGCAGUUGUGUACUUAUGAGAACGGCAAAUAUAUAUAUCUAAUUGGAUACAUGGUCCAUCAAUGGAUGUGACACAGAGUUUUAGAAAUUGGCUUCUCUCUUGCUAGAAAUGUAACGGAGGCCGAAUGAGUUAUGUGAAGAUAAUUUCUCAUGCUAGUAACCUUUACUUAAGGUCUCCAGCUAAGAAAACUUUUUUAUCCUAUUUUCAUAAAACGACAUUAUUCUCACAAAUACAGAAAAAGUAGCAAAUAAUGCUGCUGAGAGAUCUGAUUAUGUUUUGAAGAUAACUUCUCCAUUUAAGAAAGUAAUCUUUUGUGUUAAGUAUUGCUAAACAGCUCGAAUGUACAAUUAUUAACUCCAUUUUCAACAAGAAAAGUAAAAAGAAAACACCUAGCCAUGGCGUGUCCUAGGCUGGUUCUACUGAUUCUGAUCAAGUUUUUAAUUAUUGAGAGUGUUUCAGCUAGUUUUUGGCAGACAUUUAGUGGUCAGAGCCAGUGAUAUUGCAUAUGGGUCGGUAAAUUUCUCCAGACGUAACACUAUGGUGUGAUCUCGAACUGACAAAGGAUAAUAUGGUGUUGGAAUCUUCUUCCCAAAUCUGAAUCUUGACAAUGGUUCUAAUGUCAUGUACACUCAAAUAAAAAAGAAUGGUUUCAUGUUGAUGUCACAUGGAAGGAACUCUCUGCUAGUGCUGUUAGUUAUAAGUGGAUUUUUAAGUAUCUUGUUUUUUUUUUUCUUGGAACCAUUUUCUUGCGAGUAAAGUUUUCUAAGUAUUAUUCAAUGUAUUGGAAUAACAACAACUCUGCGAAACAUACUUAAGAUAUCAAUACAAGUUUCCUCUGCGGUUAGAAACAUGGCGGUUCUUGUGACCUUCUUUAACUCAGUUUAGUGUAAUUAAGUGCUUGUAACUGACUUCAACUGCAGUUCUGCCAGUAUAAUCUAUGAAAAACAAUGAAUAAUAUACACCAUUCUUAUUUUGUGAGAUAUCUCAAAUAUUUCAAAUUUAGAAGAGGAUAUUAAUAGGAAUAUGGGAAAUGGAUAAAUAUAUUGCAAAACCAAAUAUAGUUUUACUUGAUCUUAAUUCUCUUCCAAUGGAUUUUCAUCAACCUUCACCAUCCAUUUAUUUCUUUUUUUCAAGGAAAAAAAUAUACAUAAAAUAAAAAGCCAAACAUACGGAAGAGUUCAUAGUAGCAAAAUUGAUUUCUCAUUGUUUUUUGUUGUUCCUUCUCCUUUUGAGGCCAUAGAGACCAGAUUCAUUUUUGGUUUCUUCAAAGGCCAAACCUUAUUUUCUCAGCAAACCCUUUUGCCAUCUUACACAAAAAGAAAAAAGAAAAAAUCUUGUUCGUCUGAGAGUCUCUGUCCCUUUUGGAUUUGAGGUUCAACAACAUUCAUGAACUUCAAGUAAUCUAUAAUCUUCUUGUAGUAGUAAUC